UGUCUCGGAUGCCUUCGUUCGUUGUCCCUCUCCACCCCUUUUCCGGGUGCGGAGGUAUCGCUGUCGCCACCAAUCCUCUCUUUUUCCCCACUUGCUCACCUCUAAAGCAUACAACAUUCUAACCAGCCAUUGGCCGCCUCCUCCUUUUUUUUGCUUCUUCCUUAAAAAAACAAAAAAAUUCUACCCAGCAGUCAUCUGAGGUCCCGAUCCUUCGCCUGUCAAAGAAGUUUCUCCUCCUCUCCGCAGAUUUUUCUUUUUCUUACGACCGGUGGGAAUUCAAUAGAAUGGAAGGAAUCGUUGUGAGAAGAGUCAUACCCUCCGACAAUAGCUGCCUAUUCAAUGCUGUAGGGUAUGUAAUGGAUCACGACAAGCACCGAGCUCCAGAGCUAAGACAGGUUAUAGCUGCAACAGUGGCGAGUGAUCCAAGAAAAUAUAACCAAGCAUUUCUUGGAAAAUCAAAUGUAGAAUACUGUGGCUGGAUUUUGAAUCCUGAGAAGUGGGGAGGUGCAAUUGAACUUGCAAUUCUAUCAGAAUAUUAUGGACGUGAAAUUGCAGCAUAUGAUAUCCAGACCACCCGUUGUGAUUUGUAUGGCCAGGAUAGGAAUUAUCGAGAGAGGGUUAUGCUUAUUUAUGAUGGCCUGCAUUAUGAUGCAUUAGCUAUGUCUCCAUUUGAAGGAGCACCGGAAGAGUUUGAUCAAACCAUUUUUACUGUUGACAAUGGUCGUUCUAUUGGGCAUGUGGAAGGCCUCACUCUUAAUCUUGUUAGGGAUGCUCAGAGUGAAUGGACCAAUUGCUAAGCGAGAUCUGCUCUCUGUUUUCCAUGUGCACAGUUUUGGGUGAAGAGGAGUUAUACAGACACUGCCAAUUUCACCUUGCGUUGCGGGGUGUGCCAAAUUGGUGUUGUUGGUCAAAAGGAGGCUGUUGAACAUGCCCAAGCUACGGGUCAUGUUAAUUUUCAGGAGUUUCAGUAAACUAUGGAACUUUUGUAUAAAAACCAGUCUCUGUAACUGAUUCCUGCCCGUUCAUUUCAUUACUUUGAUGUCUUAUUUGGGCCAGAGAAAAGAAACGUUUUAUGGUUAAAUUCAUUAGAUUGAGUUUGUUGUUUUAAUAAUUGGAGGCCAUCUGCUCUUUGUUGUAAACUUUUUUUUAAAAAAAAAAAAUACACCACUAGAAUGCAACUCUUUUAAA